rnacentral:lncRNA from 1 species
GGAUUCCGGAAGGGGCUGAGCAGUUGUGGCGGCGGUUUGUGUGUUGCUGGUUAGUGCUUCUUCCCCGCCGGAGCGACGGGAUAAAGGCGGCGUCAUGGUCGAGCUUGGCGUUGAUGAGACUAUCCAGUCAUUUGUGCUCUGGCUAGGAAUAUAACACAAAAACUCACACGCUUGAAUCAUUGCUUCUUCCUAUUUUACAAUAAACUUUCUUCCCAUGUUUUUAUUUCUAAAAUGAACAAUUUGAGAUCUUAGGAGGUAAAAUGCAGAUAUCAAGCAUAUGGAAGUUUGUUGAACAGAACUAUUCCAAAGAUAGAAUAUUGUGUCACUUUCAUUAAACCACACUUUUAUUUUCUUUUUCCUUUUUUAAAAUUAAAUCUACCAAACUUAUUGCUACAGUAGGGCAUGUUUUGAGGGGAACAGUCUUUUUUAAAAGCCCUUUCAAAACUGGUACCUGUGACUAAUAAUGUGGGAUUAAAGGAUCUGAAGUCUGAGUUUAACUUCUCUUCUGCACCAGAAACUGUUUAGGAAGUAGACAAGUGAGAUGUGUCCUUGAAGACAUCCACUUCAGUAGCCGUUUAUAGAAAUGCUGUCUUCGUGGAGGCACAGGGAAAAGCUGGGGUGGCACGGCGGGGAAGCCCAGUUAUUUUGCCUGGGAAGGACUGUGGGAGACCUCCUUGCAUCAGUGGUGUUGGAGCUGACCCCUGAGAGAUCAGAGAGGGAAAAGGGUUUUCCAGGGUGAGGUGUGACCUGAAAAACCAGACAUGGGAAAGUUGUGUGGUUUCAGGAGCAGAAUUGUCUGCUGCUGCUGCUGAAAGAAUAGCUGCCUGGUGGCAGGGAAAGCUGUGUUUGGCGGUUUCAGUUUUAUUCCAGAAGCGGGUUGCUAAUAUCGGUAUCAAAGCCUGGAGAAAUAACUAGAGCUAGCAGUGGAGGCCUCUGAAGCUGUAGCAAGGACUACGAUCUUUUGUGAAGACUUGAUAGUAAAGUGCUUUUGAUACCAGCCUCUUGCUGGUACAUACAAGUUUUAUAAACCCUGUCCUUCAGUUCCUGAUGCCCUUUCAGUCAAGGAAAUCUCACACUCACCUUCUGUCAUUAGAGACCACAAUUACAAGAAGUUUAAAAUUUGUUUCGAAUUUAAAAGUUAGACCGCAAUUUUGAAUGAGUAUUUCCAAACUAUACAUGUCCCAUUUGCAUGCUGUAGGUGGGAAUAUAGCUGUUACAACCUUGAGGAGGAUAGUUUUUCCAGAGUAUAUUGAAAAUGCUUGGACUCUUAACUCUUCAUUAGAAAUGAAAUUACUAGGAAACUGCCUGAUAGGAAAAAUCUGACAAGGGUACACAAGCAAGUUCAUUGUACAUUUGUAUUUUAAUGAAAACUAGCCCAGGAGUUGCCAUUAUGGCUCAGAGGAAACGAAUCCAACUACUAACCAUGAGGAUGUGGCUUCCCUCCCUGGCCUCCCUCAGUGGGUUAAGGAUCGGGCAUUGCCGUGAGCUGUUGAGUAUGUCACAGAUGUAGCUCGGGUCCUAUGUUGCUAUGGCUGCAGUGUAGGCUGGUGGCUGUAGUUCCAGUUAAACCCCUAGCCUGGAACCUCAUAUUCCACGGGUGCAGCUCUAUAAAAGAAAAACAAAAAACAAAACUAGCCCACAUGUCCUAUUAAUAAGGGCAUGGUAUAAUAGAUUAUGGUACCUUCCUUCAGGUUCUUUCCUUGAAGAGUGAGAAAUAUCUCUGGAAUAAUAUGUCCAAACUUUACUCUUAAAAAGUUGUGCGAGCAUUUUUUUUUUUUUUUUUUUUUGGUAAAAUAACUUGUUCUAAAAAAUUGUGGAGAGGUAACACCCAUUGUUAUCAGUGGCUCUAUGAGGGAGUGGAAUUAUGGCAGAACUUUCAUGAUUGGCUUUAUAUAUUUCUAUAAUGUUUUAAUUUUCUAUAAGCAUGUAUUUUGUAAACUUAAAUAAAGAAAAAAGCCCACUACAUUUGAUCCCUGAGAGAUUCUAAUAUGCCUAAGAGGAAAAAUCAUGGAGGUGAUCAGUAUUCCAAAGCUUAGCCCAAAGGCCAAGGAGAAUUCACUACAACGAAGAGGUGAGAGCGGUGGCCCCUGCUAACCUGUCCAGCAAAGCUUCAGCUUGUGUGUUUGUUAGACAUAAGUGUCAAAUUCCAAAGAACUUGAAAAAAAAAUCCAUUUCCCUGCUUCAUUCUGCGCUGUGUUACGGUGCUCUUGAAUCCUCUUGCAGAAAGUUCAUCUACCAUGUAGUCAUGAGCCCCGUGAAAUUUUAAGCAGAAAUUCAUGCAUGUUCCUUUCUUGGAACCUCAACCCAGGUUAAACCUCAGUCUCCUCCUCUGCCUAUGCCUUGGGUACUCAAGCUGUAAAUAGAGAAAGAUUGCCUCUUUAUGCAAUUGUUGGCUCAGACUGCUUCUGCAAUUAACCGCUUUCCCUUCUGCACCAUAAAUCCCUUUUCUUGUUGCCAAAUGAGUCUCAUCAUCAAAUAUGUUGUAUUUAAAUAAUUAUUAAAUAAGUGUUUAAUU